CUAAUACAUGCAAGUCGAGCGAACAGACAAGGAGCUUGCUCCUUUGACGUUAGCGGCGGACGGGUGAGUAACACGUGGGUAACCUACCUAUAAGACUGGGAUAACUUCGGGAAACCGGAGCUAAUACCGGAUAAUAUUUCGAACCGCAUGGUUCGAUAGUGAAAGAUGGUUUUGCUAUCACUUAUAGAUGGACCCGCGCCGUAUUAGCUAGUUGGUAAGGUAACGGCUUACCAAGGCGACGAUACGUAGCCGACCUGAGAGGGUGAUCGGCCACACUGGAACUGAGACACGGUCCAGACUCCUACGGGAGGCAGCAGUAGGGAAUCUUCCGCAAUGGGCGAAAGCCUGACGGAGCAACGCCGCGUGAGUGAUGAAGGUCUUCGGAUCGUAAAACUCUGUUAUUAGGGAAGAACAUACGUGUAAGUAACUAUGCACGUCUUGACGGUACCUAAUCAGAAAGCCACGGCUAACUACGUGCCAGCAGCCGCGGUAAUACGUAGGUGGCAAGCGUUAUCCGGAAUUAUUGGGCGUAAAGCGCGCGUAGGCGGUUUUUUAAGUCUGAUGUGAAAGCCCACGGCUCAACCGUGGAGGGUCAUUGGAAACUGGAAAACUUGAGUGCAGAAGAGGAAAGUGGAAUUCCAUGUGUAGCGGUGAAAUGCGCAGAGAUAUGGAGGAACACCAGUGGCGAAGGCGACUUUCUGGUCUGUAACUGACGCUGAUGUGCGAAAGCGUGGGGAUCAAACAGGAUUAGAUACCCUGGUAGUCCACGCCGUAAACGAUGAGUGCUAAGUGUUAGGGGGUUUCCGCCCCUUAGUGCUGCAGCUAACGCAUUAAGCACUCCGCCUGGGGAGUACGACCGCAAGGUUGAAACUCAAAGGAAUUGACGGGGACCCGCACAAGCGGUGGAGCAUGUGGUUUAAUUCAAAGCA
rnacentral:rRNA from 1 species